GCCGCCAUAGCUUAGUGGUAGAGCAUCCGCCUUGUAAGCGGAAGGUCGAGGGUUCAAUCCCCUCUGUCGGCU
rfam:Oxytricha trifallax strain JRB310 Contig4064.0.1 macronuclear, whole genome shotgun sequence.